CAGCCGCCACGGUAAUACGGAGGGUGCAAGCGUUAAUCGGAAUUACUGGGCGUAAAGCGCACGCAGGCGGUCUGACAAGUCAGAUGUGAAAUCCCCGGGCUUAACCUGGGAACUGCAUUUGAAACUGUCAGGCUGGAGUCUUGUAGUGGGGGGUAGAAUUCCAGGUGUAGCGGUGAAAUGCGUAGAGAUCUGGAGGAAUACCGGUGGCGAAGGCGGCCCCCUGGACAAAGACUGACGCUCAGGUGCGAAAGCGUGGGGAGCAAACAGGAUUAGAUACCCCGGUAGUCCCUGUCUCUUAUAU
rnacentral:rRNA from 1 species